rnacentral:rRNA from 1 species
UACAGAGGGUGCAAGCGUUGUUCGGAAUUAUUGGGCGUAAAGCGCGUGUAGGCGGCUUUGCAAGUCGGGUGUGAAAGCCCUCAGCUCAACUGAGGAAGUGCGCCCCGAAACUGCAGAGCUUGAGUGCCGGAGAGGGUGGCGGAAUUCCAGGUGUAGCGGUGAAAUGCGUAGAUAUCCGGAGGAACCCCAGAGGCGAAGGCGGCGCUCUGGCUCAGCCCUGACGCUCAGACACGACAGCAUGGGGAGCGAACGGG